AUUGAACGCUGGCGGCAGGCCUAACACAUGCAAGUCGAACGAGUGGCGGACGGGUGAGUAAUGUCUGGGAAACUGCCCGAUGGCGGGGGAUAACUACUGGAAACGGUAGCUAAUACCGCAUACCAUCGGAUGUGCCCAGAUGGGAUUAGCUAGUAGGUGGGGUAAAGGCUCACCUAGGCGACGAUCCCUAGCUGGUCUUAGAGGAUGACCAGCCACACGGGAACUGAGACACGGUCCAGACGCCUACGGGAGGCAGAAGUGGGGAAUAUUGCACAAUGGGCGCAAGCCUGAUGCAGCCAUGCCGCGUGUAUGAAGAAGGCCUUCGGGUUGUAAAGUACUUUCAGCGAGGAGGCGUUACUAGCAGAAGAAGCACCGGCUAACUCCGUGCCAGCAGCCGCGGUAAUAC
rnacentral:rRNA from 1 species